rnacentral:snRNA from 1 species
GUGCUCACUUCAGCAGCACAUAUACUAAAAUUGGAACACUACAGAGAAGAUUGGUAUGGCCCCUAUGCAAUGAUGACACUCAAAUUCAUGAAGAUUAAACUCAGGGC